AUACGUAGGGGACAAGCGUUAUCCGGAUUUACUGGGCGUAAAGGGCGUGUAGGCGGUCUUGCAAGUCAGAAGUGAAAUUCCUGAGCUCAACUCGGGCGCUGCUUCUGAAACUGCAGGACUUGAGUGCUGGAGGGGAUAGCGGAAUUCCUAGUGGAGCGGUAAAAUGCGCAGAUAUCUGGAAGAACACCAAUGGCGAAGGCAGGCAUCUGGCCAUGUACUGACGCUGAGACGCGAAGGUGCGGGGAGCAAACAGGUUUAGAUACCCUGGUAGUCCGCACAGUAAACGAUGUGCACCAGGUGGCGGGGGGUCGACCCCCGGUACCGUAGCUAACGCAUUAAGUGCACCGCCUGGGGAGUAUGCUCGCAAGGGUGAAACUCAAAUGAAUUGACGGGG
rnacentral:rRNA from 1 species